UUAAUUCGGCCGCCACCUCCCACCGCUGCGGAGACGAAUUCAUUUUCCAUCCCUUGGGCGUCUGUUGUCUCCGCAGCUGUUGGGUUCGGAGAUUGGGAAGCGACAGAACCACACAGCUCCGGGGUUCCGGCAGCGCGGGCUGGCUCGAACACCCCAGAGGACGGAAAAAAGACGCCUCUGGCUCCCGGCCGGCGGGCAGCAGUGCAGAGAGGCGCUUCGGGAGCGGGAAGCUGGGGGAAGGCAAGGCCUCCGACCUCGGGGGGGCCAGUUUUGCCAGCUCUCGGUUUGGCUCACGGAAGGCUUUUAAAAUUGGACGAGGCGAGCCUCGAUCAGAAGUGUGGCGACGCUGGCAAAAGAGGAAAACACUGGAAUAUUCACUCUCUGUCUUGCCAAAGGAGACUUUCCAUCUUAUUCUAGGCGGGUAGCAUCGGGCUUCCCGAAAGCACCCCACCCCCAAAUUCCGAGGAGAAGCAGGAGAAACGGAACCCGCUCUUCUCUGACCCGCUCUUUAGUUGGUGGCACUUGCUCCCCCCUCCCCCUGGCAAAGAUGGGGAGUGCGUCUUUCUGGAUGCUCUUCCAAGGAGUCUAUCUAGACCCCGCCCCGAAUCCCUACUUAUCUCUUUACCCCUUUUUAUACACCAAUGCGUCGGCCGGACCGGUCCCCGCCACGCCUGGCCUUUGCUACCGGUGCAAAUAGCUUAAGGCACCGGCCCGUGCGGGCGAUCAAGCUUUCACCCCGAGAUUGACUCUGCUAAGUGAGCCCCGUUCUUUCUCGAACUUGGAAAGCUAGUUCUACUCCGCCUCUGGGAUCAACUCAUCCCAGCGGAGCAGAGGGAUCGCUCUGCGCACUUGGGCACCUGGUGGGUCCCGGGACUGGGGGUUAAAGGAUGCUCAGGAAAGCCGCCGUAGAAACUGCCAAACCGCCGUUCUCCGAUUCUGAGUUCCCGGCACCAGGGGGCACUAGAAACCGCUCGGGCCUUGUAGUCUUCCCGCCGCCGGUAGGCUGGAUUGUCAUUUUAAAACAUAAAACAGUAGGGGAACCAAUGUUUCUACCAUCUAUCCCCAAACUAGUUCAGGGAUCUGUAGAUGUCCUUAUGUGAAUCCUCGCUUUUCGGGCUUCUAUCCUUCCAUUCUCUUUCCCCAUUUCCCCUCUCCUCAUUUCACCUGAGGCGGUUUCUUGGCAACCUACUUUUAGACAUCCUGAUCCUCUAUCACCGAGAAAGCUUUGCAGCGGGUGGCUGCUCCCUGCCACCAGUGCCCCCGCACAUUUUGGAGCUAGCAGGCUGGAAAGUUUGUUUGGGAUUUGCUUUCAAACCCUGGUGGCGUGGGAGGAGAGUUCACUACAAACUCCGGUGUUUCCUGUACGGUUUGGGCAGAAAUUACUAAACGAUCUGUUGCUUGUU